UUGGAAGCUGAAGACUUUAUGCUUCCAUCCCACACCACUGUCAAGUUUCAGCAAAUUAGGACAAGUUAGCAAAUAAGAACAACUUUACAUAUCAGUAACUGAUACUGAUUACAAUUUACUUCUGCUGUUACAGUAUCAGAGUAGGUCAGAUAGCCGUUUAAUAUCAGUAAUGGCUACUGGUAGCAAAUUUAAGACAGAGAGCAGUUUUCAGACUACACCCGCUGCUCUCGGGGGCAGUCGCUGAGGGCAGCCCCAGGACAUCCUGCCCCCGGGGGCCAGGCCCAUCUGCACGCACAGAGAGCUGGCCUGUUUAUAACAUGGGUUUCCAUGCAGGGUAAGUGCUGCCAGCCCAGCGCGAGCCCAUGGACUCGGUUCCCCGCUACGCACACAGCUGAGGAGGCUCGCGGCCGGCGCAUGCAGCAGAGGGCCGCCGGGAGCUGAUAACCAAGUCGCUGUGGGGCGGGGCUGCAAUGGGGAGGCCCAGCACGGCGCGUGCCCACCGGUGGGGGCUGAGCAGCCGGGUGCCUAGCCCGGCCAGGCUGCGAGGCGGCAGCUGAGGCACGGGCAGUGGAACUCCCGAGGCCAGCGGGCCCAGCAGCAGCGCUACCUGGGGGACAAACGAGGGUACCCAUCACCAUAGUGCCUCACAAAAAUAAAUGAAUGUCUUCACAAGACCCAUGUGAAGGGUUUGGGAUAUGGCCCUGUGGUCAUUUCCAUGAUUGGGGAAAUUCCACAUCUCUAGCACAAUAAUAAUCUCUUGCAGAAACUUCUACCCUCUGAACCCACCCCUGUAGGAUUUACCACAGAAGGGGAUGAUCCAGGAGGAUUAACUACUUUUCCUCCAAACAUAACAAUUGAGAAGGUUGUGUGGAAGUGAUCGACUCUGUCCUGAAACACUGGGAUCUAAAAUGGUUGUUUGUGAGGUGGCAUUAACAGGAAGAAAAGUCAAAUGCAUGCUGAAGAACAAGAACAAUUAGAAACAUCAGGUGAAGGCUAAGGAUAUUACUGUAUGAUAAUCCCUGAACAACUUGGACUGGAUGUAGUGAUCCGUAUUGUUUUAUGGAAGAGUGAAUAAGCCUCCAGAGACCUCUGAAAUUUCACUUUAUUAUGAACCUCUGGCAUUGGUGGUGCCUUGGUCUCUAUUUUCUGCAACAUUUUAGCAUCCAGAGGAAUAUAAUGUUUUAGUAUAACUGAAGUCAUUGUAGGCUCAAUGUAGGGUAUUUGCAUGAAAUUCAAUGGCUUGUGAUAUCCAGGAGGUCAGAUUAUUUGAUCUAAUGGUCCUUUCUGACCUUAAAUUCUAUGAAGCUUAAGGAAAUGCUUAGUUAAGGCACCCAAUCUUAACUCAGCCCCAUAGUAAUACCAUAAAAAAUAGACAGAAAACAUAACAGAAAAAACAAACAAAAAUAACCCAACCACUAGCAGAGUUUCUUUGCCUCAAAAAAUGAAAAAGACCUAAAGACUCCACAUAGUCUCCUGGAGACCUCAGAGUUGAAGACCAUAAGGGACCACUAAUCUGAUAAUCUAGUCUGACCUCCUACACACCACAGGCCCCCAACACCACUCACACACCAAAUCCAACGAUCCAAAAUUGGACCAAAGGAGACUAGACUAUUAGGUGCUGCAGGCAGAGAGUAGGAGGGACCAAGGUGCACUAGUACGCGAGGCCCCUGCAAUAGCAGGGAAUUGAUUAAGAUAUACCCUUAUAACACUGGCAAGUGACCCAAACUCUGUGCUUCAGAGGAAAGCGAAAAACUUCUAAUGGUCUCUGCCAAUCUGACCUGGGGGGAAAUUCCUUCCCAAUCCCACAUAUGGCAACCAAUUAGACUGUGAACAUGUGAGCUAUUGCUAAUCUAUUUUAAAUUGAAGGCACUCAGAUUCUGUCAAAAACCCAAGAUAGAUAAGGAAUUGGGAAUCCAUUUAUCUUUCUUUUAGUUUAUAUUGUUGAUCUAAUUUCUUGAUUGUACAUCUGAAAUAUGCAACUCCUUGACCUUCCCCUUUGCUAUAGAACCUUGGUCAAAGUUCUAGCUAUAUAUUAUGCCUAAAUUACUGUGAUUCUCAUUUGACUGGAAUCCUUUCUUCUUCUAACUACAGUCUUCAUUCCAUUCAAAGUUAUGCAACUAAAUUAAUACUUCACUGCCCUCCUAUUCUCAAGUGUCCCCUUUACUCAUUCGGCUUCAUUGGUUGUUGAUGCAUUUAAGGAUUUAUUUAAGGAUUAAAUUAAUAUAGUUUGUGUUUUAAGUUUCUUCCCAUCAUUGUAUCAUCUUAUGCAACAGAAACUGACCAGGUAGUAUCAAAGUAGGGGCCAGAUCCUCAGAUCCCUUUGAAUAGCGUGUUUCGUUCUGGGCCUCUCAAUACCAGAAAAAUGUUAACAAAAUGGAUAAAAUUUAGAGAACAAGAAAAAUAAUUAAAGAGCUGGAAUGUGAAAGUUUUUAAUCCUUCAACCCAUAUCCAAGGGGCUAUUGUGAUGCCAUGGCCCUUUAAGAGCACAGUCUCCAAGCUUUCUGGGUCUCUGAGGACUACUCCAAGACCUGACUAAAUGUGGGCCUCCAAAUGUCCAGCUUUCUCUUUCCCACCUUGUAGAGUACAACCUGUGGGUCUGUUCUGUGGGCAGCUUCUUGGACUCAUGGCACCUCCUUGAGAUCAUCACUGGCCUUAGCAGCCUCCCCACUGUCUGAGAAUGCAGCCUUUUAUCCAGCUGUUACUAGUCAGCCACUUGGUCACAGCUGGGGAAGUCACUGUUCUGGCCAUUCACCCCUUCAUGGUUCCUGCAGUGUGGGGUUUAUGCACUUUAUCACAUACACUUAUUAGGAAACCUUAAUAGAAUUAUAUCUGUAUAGUUUGGCUAAGUGAUAUCUGAGGAGUGAAUACAAGGCUGUGAAAGGUGUAAGGAUUAAGUUGUUUAUCUUAAUCCAGAGAUGACAGAUAUAAGUAUUUAGUUAAGAUUUGUGGGAUGAUAUAGAACAAAAAAUUAGCUGGAGUAUCAAAACAAUGUCCUCAAAAUGAGAUCUAUGAGAGAUUAUCAACAGUGUCCGAUGGAAGUGGUGGAAGCCCUCAUUUGAACCAUUUAAAACUAAAUCGGACACAGAACAUCAAACAAAAUAACCCGAGUUUGUAUUUUCAGGCACAUGACUUAUAAAUCUCACAUGCUAAAUGUGCAUUGAGGCAUGUUAUUUUUGUGUCAUUUUUCUUUCAAUCACAAAAAUAAUCACUGCAGUAUUUUUUUAAAAAAAAUAUGCCAAGAGCGAGAUGUCUAGAAAAUGAGGGCAAAGUCACUCUAGUGUGCUAGCAAUACCUGUAGGGUAUUGUGUACAUGAGAAUGUUUGAAAGACCCAAGCAAAAAAGGCAGAUACCUCUAAAAAUCAGCAUCUACAUUGGAAAGAAAGUGGGAUAAAUAUAUGCUUUCUCACAGACAAAAAUGUGAAUGCUCUGGAAGGAAAUGUUUAGUUUUUAUGCUAUGCUUGACUUUUGCACUUGCUAUACAUUAAUGUUUAAUGAUUAAUAUAAUGUAACCUGAACUAUGCUAGAAAGGUAUCUUUUUCCAUUAUUUUUAAUAUAUAAAAAGGCAGUCGAGUGGGAAAUGUACUCUAGCCAAACUGCAAAGCAUGGAAAAUAGAACGCUAAAACUUUUGCUUUCCCCGUCCUUUUUUUUUUAAACCUGUAGGCCAGUUUCAUGAGAUACAUGAUCAGGGGUGCUAAAUUUGUCACCUUGUUUCAUAUAAGCUUUGUAUCCCUUGGGGUUUGAGUUCGUUUUGUUGUGUCAAAACCAAAACAGGAACAAAACAUUAACUCAGCAAAUCUGGGUUUUCAAAAAUUCCCUGUGAGUUUUUGAAGUGAAAUGUCAUUUUCAAAAAUCCGUUCAACCAAAAUCUUCAACAUUUGCCUUUUUGGGUUGGUUUGGUGUAGAGAGAGAAGACAGGAAUAGAGUCCUUUCUCUAAUAUUAGAGAGCCACUGGUCGCAGCUCCAUAGUUAAGAUUGCAUUAUAAAACAUGCUUAAAAUUAACACACAAACUUUCAUUAACAUGGAGUUAAGGUUGCAAGCAUUCACUACUACCCUGUGCCCUUCCAGGAUGUGAGAGUUGUUGUCAUAAAUAUAAAGGAAGGAUAAACACCUUUAAAUUCCUCCUGGCCAGAGGAAAAACCCUUUCACCUGUAAAGGGUUAAGAAGCAAGACAACCUUGCUGGCACCUGACCAAAAUGACCAAUGAGGAAACAAGAUACUUUCAAAGUGGAGGGAACAAAGGGUUCUCUCUGUCUGGGUUGUCUUUUGCCGGGACCAGAGCAGGAAUGCAGGUCAGAACUCCUGUAAAGGGUUAGUAAGCAAUCUAGUUAGAUAUGCAUUAGAUUUGGUUUUGUUUAAAUGGCUGAUAAAAUAAAUUGUGCUGAAUAGAAUGUAUAUUCCUGUUUUUGUGUCUUUUUGUAACUUAAGGUUUUGCCUAGAGGGAUUCUCUAU